AGUGCAUGUAGUUGCAGCCUGUCUUUGGAAGCUGUUGAAAUAACAAGAAAAGAGGCUACACAUUGACAUAGUGUUUUGGUAGAGAGAAGUUUGAGUAUGUACAGUUGUUUGACCUGUCUUACCCUGAGGUAGUCCCAGGAGAUGUUACCGUUAUGAAUAAAUGCAGGGGAACAUGAAGACAAUGGUAAGUGCAGAAGGGACAUAAAAGUAAUGAUAAAA
rnacentral:lncRNA from 1 species